GAGGAUCUUUUGCACAAUGGACAAAUCUGACGGAGAACAGCCCCGUGAGAGUGAAGAGCUUUUGGGUAUUAUAAAUCUGUGUUUAGGGGGAAACAAGCUAUGGAGAGUUACGGUGGCAUCUGGGCGGUACCUAAAGAAAAAACCCCGGCCAACUUCGGGCCCGCCGGCCCCGUUAAUCGUUGGGGGCCAGCCUUUUUCGGAAUUUUUGGGCGUUAAGCCCGGGCCGGGGGUUUCUUAAAUUUGAUGGUAAAACCCCCGGGUCCACCUUCGAGUGUCAUUGGAAACUGUGAGACUUGAGUGCAGAAGAGGAAAGUGGAAUUCCACGUGUAGCGGUGAAAUGCGUAGAGAUAUGGAGGAACACCAGUGGCGAAGGCGACUUUCUGG
rnacentral:rRNA from 1 species